GCUAAAAAAGAGUUAGCGGGAAUUAAAAUUAUUCACUGCCGCCCUUAGUAAAAAUUUGGGCUCCAACGAAAAAGACUAAAAUCUGGGCUCCAAUUAAAAGUUUAUUUAACCUAAUUUUUUUCCCUUUUGCUCUAUAACCUUUGACAUUCUUCCCCUUUGUUUGAUUUUAGAUAUUUCUUCGCUUUCCCUUUUGUUUGCUCUCUAGUUCUUUCGUUCCUGUUUGCUCUCUCUUUCGAAUUUUGUUCUCCUCUCCUUCUCUCUUCUUUCACUGUAUCUUAGUAUCCUUCCUCCUAAAACCCUAACCUCUCGCAUCCAUCGCUUGUCACAAAACCUCGCCGCCAAGCAAGGAUUUCCAAUCUGAUUCUACAACCAAACCCUGGAUCUUGCCUCUCAACAAGGACCGCUCCAAUCGAUGUUCAAUACUUUGCUCGCAAUUUUGUUUUCUGGAUCUAACAACCUAAAUCUGUCAUCAUCUUUGUCAAAGCCAGAGCUCCCAUUAACCAACCAGCUUCGCUCUCUCCGAAUACAUGGAGCAACACGACACUGAAAAUGCCUUUCUCAAAUGUUCAAUUGAUUACUCAGAUGGCUCUUAUUCCUUACCUCUCACUAACCGUGAAGUUCAGGCUAUCAUCAUCACCAUAUUACCCUUUACAUUUCUCUGCGAUUGGUUUCUUAUGGAUGGCUAGCAAAGUAGCAAUAUCAUCUUGUUCAAGGAUAUUUUUGUUGUCGAUAAGCUGCUGAUGGCAAAAAAAAUUGAUAAAGGGGCUUUUUGUUAAAUGGUGGUGUGCUGUGUUGUAGUCAACUAGAGAAAUCAAGAUUGUGAAUACACCUUGGUGAAUAUAUGUAUCGAUCUUUAGACGUUUCCAAAUAGAAAACAAUUGUGAUAUGUAUUGUUGUUCUUAAUUAAAUACAGAUCUUUUUGGUUUCUUAUUAAGAAUUUUUAUUAUUACAAUUAUUGAUUAUUUUGGGUCUUUGUAAAAAUGAUAUUAGAUCUCUUAUUAAUAAAAUUCAAAUUCAAAA